rnacentral:pre_miRNA from 1 species
GAUGUACUCCCUCCGUCCGGAAAUACUUGUCCUAGAAAUGGAUGUAUCUAGACUUAUUUUGGUUAUAGAUACAUCCAUUUUAUUUAUUUUUAAGACAAGUAUUUUCGGACGGACGGAGCAUUUU